rnacentral:rRNA from 1 species
CCUACGGGCGGCAGCAGUGAGGAAUAUUGGUCAAUGGGCGCGAGCCUGAACCAGCCAAGUAGCGUGAGGGAAGACGGCCCUACGGGUUGUAAACCUCUUUUGUCGGGGAGCAAAGCGAGUCACGUGUGACUCAUUGAGAGUACCCGACGAAAAAGCAUCGGCUAACUCCGUGCCAGCAGCCGCGGUAAUACGGAGGAUCCGAGCGUUAUCCGGAUUUAUUGGGUUUAAAGGGUGCGUAGAUGGGUUGUUAAGUCAGUUGUGAAAGUUUGCGGCUCAACCGUAAAAUUGCAAUUGAUACUGGCAGUCUUGAGUACAGUUGAGGUAGGCGGAAUUCGUGGUGUAGCGGUGAAAUGCUUAGAUAUCACGAAGAACUCCGAUUGCGAAGGCAGCUUACUAAACUGCCACUGACAUUGAUGCUCGAAAGUGUGGGUAUCAAACAGGAUUAGAUACCCCAGUAGUC